UGCCUGAGCAUAGGGGUGAGUC
rnacentral:piRNA from 1 species